AAGUGGAGCAAUCCACUAGUACAGUGGCGUACGGGUGAGUAACACGUGACUAACCUACCCUCGAGUGGGGAAUAACCUCGGGAAACCGGGGCUAAUACCGCAUAACAUCUACGGAUCAAAUGCGUAAGCAGCUUGAGGAGGGGGUCGCGGCCGAUUAGCUAGUUGGCGGGGUAAUGGCCCACCAAGGCAAUGAUCGGUAGCCGGCCUGAGAGGGCGCACGGCCACACUGGAACUGAAACACGGUCCACACUCCUACGGGAGGCAGCAGUGGGGAAUUUUGCGCAAUGGGGGAAACCCUGACGCAGCAACGCCGCGUGGAGGAUGAAGCCCCUUGGG
rnacentral:rRNA from 1 species